GAUGAACGCUGACAGAAUGCUUAACACAUGCAAGUCAACUUGAAUUUGGGGUUUUAACUUAGGUUUGGGUGGCGGACGGGUGAGUAACGCGUAAAGAACUUGCCUCACAGCUAGGGACAACAUUUGGAAACGAAUGCUAAUACCUAAUAUUAUGAUAAUAGAGCAUCCUAUAAUUAUGAAAGCUAUAAGCGCUGUGAGAGAGCUUUGCGUCCCAUUAGCUAGUUGGAGAGGUAACGGCUCACCAAGGCGAUGAUGGGUAGCCGGCCUGAGAGGGUGAUCGGCCACAAGGGGACUCAGACACCGCCCGUACUCCUACGGGAGGCAGCAGUGGGAAAUAUUGGACGAUGGACCGAGAGUCUGAUCCAGCAAUUCUGUGUGCACGAUGAAGUUUUUCGGAAUGUAAAGUGCUUUCAGUUGGGAAGAAACAAAUGACGGUACCAACAGAAGAAGUGACGGCUAAAUACGUG
rnacentral:rRNA from 1 species